UACGUAGGGUGCGAGCGUUAAUCGGAAUUACUGGGCGUAAAGCGUGCGCAGGCGGUUUCAUAAGCUCGAUGUGAAAGCCCCGGGCUUAACCUGGGAAUGGCAUUGAGGACUGUGGAGCUCGAGUGCGGCAGAGGGAGGUGGAAUUCCACGUGUAGCAGUGAAAUGCGUAGAGAUGUGGAGGAACACCGAUGGCGAAGGCAGCCUCCUGGGCCGACACUGACGCUCAUGCACGAAAGCGUGGGGAGCAAACAGG
rnacentral:rRNA from 1 species